ensembl:lncRNA
GUUUGUGAUACUUUUUUAUUGAGAUAACUUUUGCUUAAAGGAUGCUUUAUUAGAGCCUGUCAACCUAGAUUAUUUUAAUAUUCUUCUUUUUUCCUGUUUUCUCACCAAAAUUUAAUAAGUAGCCAUUUUCCCCAGUGAAUAAGCUCCUCUUUAAGGUGAAUUGUGUCUUUAGGAUCCAUGUAAUCUGAUUUACACUAGUACACUGAAAAGUAUGUUAUGUCCCUCUUCUUAGAAGCUGCACAUUUAGAGAUAACAGAAAUAACUUGUGUCUUAAAAAGGUCUGGAACAGACUCAUUGGUUGACAUGUAACUUACCUAUUCAUACUGGUUUGUGACAGAAGUUUUAUAUCUGUUUGCUUUGAUAUUGAAUAGAGUGGGAUAUAUCAGGGUGUUGAAUUGGGGUGCCCAGAUGAUCAUAAUUUAUACUGAGCGACUGCUUUCUCAUAUCUUCUUUAGUUUUUGCUCCAAACUCCUGUCUCUGGAGCUUUCCCAGUUAGACCUCAUUUCUGAACUUUGAAAAUGACCCAAAUGUUGGAGUAAUUUCCAACUCUGUCUGAGCAUUACAUCUGCUAUGUGGACCCUCUGUGUUAGCCAGCUGUAUGCUUUGAUUGCAGCCUAAUCAUCAAAUGAUGUUUGCUUGGGUUUCUGUUUGUCUUUGAACCUGCCACAGGACUUUAAACAGUAGUUCUUCCUUGCUAGUCCUGCUUAUUUUAAGAGUGGGCAGAAUAGUUGAUUAGUAAAGAAGUCCUGUACAAGCCUUCAUAUAAGCCACUCUGCUGAAUUAAUGAGAACGGAGAGAGGGAGGAAGGGAGAACUUACGAGGGCUGGAGGUGAAGGACAGUUUAGCAAUUUCCUUAAACGUUUUGCGUGUCACAAAGGACACAGGACUUUCCUAUUUUAGAGCUGCCUUGACUUGUAGUGACCAUUCAAGAUCUGACCUGUCUGUCCAUUUUAUACAGGUUGGAUAUUGCUGGAGGGCUAAAAAUGGUAUGACAGUCAUGUUGCAUGAUGUGUUUGCUUACAUCUUAGCAUGUGUGGUCUGGGCGGAGUGGCCAACUCGUUCAAUAUAGGAGCCAUUGGCUCUUAGAAACAACAGGGAAAUUUACUCCCACCUCUUAGUAUAUAUUUCUGCAAGCAUGUGAUGUUGAGGUCUUUCUGAGUGACCGCUUGCUUGGUAAAGACAUCAUUUUCCUUUGGUUAAUGGCAACUUGAAGUUUGGAAGUUCCUAGGGACCUAGAUGUGAGGUCUUGUCCAAAUCUUUCUAUUUACACGACAUAGAGUCUUAGGGUGGAAAUGUGCUCCCUGAUUCACCCUUCUGGGCUGAGGGCUGCACCUUGGAUAUGGUCUGCGGGCAAGCGGUGCACUGAUAGGGCCCCAGCAACCUUCAGUAACGGGACUUUCUAAAAUGAAGACUUGUAUGUUUUCAGAAGUGGUUUGGCAGCACUUGAUAAUAUUAUUAAUGUUCAAAAUUAAGUCUAGUAGGAUGUAUGUUAUUACUUAAUUAGUUUAAAUAAGGCUUAGUUGAGGAAAUCUAAGCUUUGACAAAUGUAACCAAACAGGGCCUGAGGAUUUACAGCUGUUUCUCUCACUUGUGUGUAAUGAUUUGACAUUUGGGUAACACCUUUUCCCCAAGUGGCUUAAUGGGACUUGCAGAAGCACUUUGGGUAGCUACCAAUUGCUGUGUCGCUGGGGUUUUGUUUUUGAGCAUGUUAUUUAUCAGCAGUACCUGCCAGUUGUAACGAAGCCCAAAUUAACCUGCCUUUCUUGGAAAGGGUACAGACCUAAGAAAGGAUUUUAGGUUAACAUCAACAUAAUAUUUAGAAGUUUUAAUUUUUAAAUAAUAAAUAAUAAGCACAUUUUAAACUGGAUUUUAUGCUUUCGGAGGCAGGACCCAUAUGUUUCUCCUUACUUUUCUGUUUCCCCAUAGCACCAAGCCUAUAGGCACACAGUGGGUGCUUUGUUAACUGCUUGUUGAUUACUUCCUCACACCCAUCCGAGUUUAAAUCUUACAGGUGCUGUCAGCUACCAGAGUAGAUGUGGCAGAGCCAUUCCAUGAUCAUAUUACAAAGAGUAGAACUCAUAAUUAUACCUCUCUCAGUAGACACAGGGCACCUCCAUUCUCUUUUGUUGUCUCCCCUUCCCCCACCUCACAACCAAACAAUGUGAAGGUAGGAUUAUGGCAGCUUUACUUAGGAGCGAAGUGUUUCUACAAUAAGUCAUAACUCUAAGAGUCCUCCAGACUUAAAAGAUAACUUUACUACUACAUGGUGAAAGUUUGAAUAGAUCAUAAUUUAUUCCUGUAGAUCUAUGAAGGAUUCUUUCUGUAACCAGAAGGAACUUUAUAACCAGCCUUAUAUUUUUAUUUUAAAAUAUAUUUCUCUAAUUUCCCCCUUCCUGUUCUCCUCAAAAUAUCAACCAAAAUUAUGAAAAUGUGCCUAACCUAGUGACUUUCCAAUAGCAUUUAAAAUUACUUUUAUCCUAACACCAUGAACAGUUAUUUACCCCUUCGAGUCAUGAAUUGGACACUAAAUUUGGGUCUUGUGUCAGGUCCAUAAACACCCUUCAUCACCCUUUGGAAUAAAACCAGCAUGUGCUACAGUUGGCAAAAUCAUCGUGGGCAUAAAGAAAAUCCGUUUCUUCAAACGAGAUUGCGAGUUCUUGAAAUAGUAUUUUAUAGCAUUGUUUAUCCUUGAAUCUCUUGUUUUUUAAGUGUAGAAUUUAUAAGAAAAAAGUUAUUAUACAGCUAACUAUAGCAUUUUAGAAGAAAAUCAGCUCUGUGAAUCAUCAGGCUCCAUACUUCUUGGCUCGUUACUCUACUGAUUUUGAUCCCUCCAUGAGGGGAUUAAGGUUGGGAGGAGCGGUGAAAUUUACGUUAGUUGAUAUUAUUUUAUCAGAGGUCUCAUAUAUGGUUUAUUGUAAAGGAAUUAAAUAUAUAGAGGCCUAAUUUUUAACAAAUUAGCCACGUUGUUCCAAACCUCCAUUAUGAGCAUUAUCUUGGGGUUAGUUGUCAAUGAUAGACUUUACAUUUUAUAUGCUUUUUAAAUAGAGAAGGUGAAAAAUAAUAAAGUAAUCAUUAUUACAGGUAAGUGGUUUUAGUCACCUCUAUUUUACAAAUGUGUGCCCUCCAAAUGCUUGAGAGGGAAGUCAAAUAAGAUAGGAAAGUAUCUUUUUAGGAGGUUGAAUGAUGUUUCCUUAUAAAAAUGACAAUCAAGAAAUAGUCAUUUGUAUACUUAAUUGCCAAAGUUUUAAAAAAUUUUACAUUCCUUACCCUAAACCCAACUGCUCUCCCAUCCAGGAUUCAGAAAGGGCUCAGCAUAGAUCCAGGGUCCCAGGGCCCAGGUCAUUUCGUUUUUAGUCUAGGCCUUCUGUGCCUGCAUGUGGCAAGGGCAUUGAUGGCACCUGUGUCCUAGGACACAGUGUGUGUGUGCGUUUGGAGGCAGGGGCUGUGCCCAGACUUAUAUUCACCCCUUUCUAUCAGAUCCACAAGUACCACCUGUGGGCUGAAAUCCGGGUUAAGCCUAUUCAGUAUCAGGUAGUUUGGGUUUUUUUUUAACUUCUUAGUGUUAUUCACUUCCCCAAAUUCUAUCUCAAAUGUUGGGAAAUGCUACCUUGACUGUUUCACUUUGGAAGGUUUUAGUAGAUACCAAUUUAAUAGGGUAACUAAAUUGUUAAUCUCCUGUCUGUUCAAGAGAUACCAGCAAAGGAUGUAUUUUGCAUAAUUCAUAAAUUAUUCUACUUAUGGACUAACGAAUCACUCG